rfam:Myotis davidii contig154620, whole genome shotgun sequence.
UCCAGCUUAAUUAAUUAUAUAUUAAAAGAUUUUUCACACUGGCCCAAAAGGCUGCCAUAGAAACACUGUGACUCAUGGGCCCUGAUCCCCUCUGCUGGGCCUCAGGGAUAAAUUUGGUUACAGACACCA